AAAAAGAAUGAAAUAAUGUCUUUUGCAGCAACUGGGAUGGAACUGGAGGCUAUUAUUCUAAGUGAAGUAAUUCUGGAAUCAAAAUCUAAAUCCAACAUGUUCUCAUUUACAGGUGGUUUCUAAGCUUAUGGAUAUGCAAGGGCAUACAGAGUGGUAUAAUGUACAUUGGAGACUCAGAAGGCUGGCAAGCAGGAGAGAGGGUGAAUGCCUUCAUCCAUUGGAACCUGAACCAUGAGUAUUUCCUUCUGAGACUUUCAUCAAACUAAGUCUGCAUGAAGCCUGAGUCCUGUGGUAACUGGAACCUCAUAAUAGCAUUUACAUUUGGUGUUAAAAUGCACCCAACAGGAAAAAGGAUUCAGUUAUUUUCAAGCUUCCAAAUUCCAAAUGUGCUGAAUAGACAUUUCCUUUAAAAAAUAAAUAUACAAAAUGGAUUUGUGUGACUUGAAGUUUAAAAGAAAUGUUCUUGCAUGCCAUAGUUAAGAAUUGUAACAAUAUCACAUUCUCAAGUUUACUUAUUUUAAAAGUAGACUGUCAUGGUUUGGCUCAGCUACUAAAUUAAAUUAUUGCUGGCUUGAACAUUCCUGUUGGUUACACUGUAAUCUUUACCUCCCUUGGAAAAUAUGUCCGAUUUUGAGUGUUUAUUUCAGACUUGGCUUGAAACACCUCUGUUUAGCAGUGAAGUAUGGAUAUAUAUGUGUGAUCUGUGUUACGUAUGUAGAAAGGAAAGAAAUAGAAAAAAGUUUUACAUUGUGUGUUACAAAUACACACUAACAGGAAUACAUAUAUACAUACAUAUAUGCAACUAGAACCAUGCUUAUCAAGGAUCAAGAUAAUAUAACUAUACUGAAUUAAUAGACAUGCAUACAUACAUACAUGUGUAUCCAUUAACAUGUUAUUACAGGUUGAAUUGUGUCUCCCUUUCCCCCAAAAUCAGAUGUUGACAUUUUCACCUCUGGGAGCUCAUUUGGAGAUAGGGCUUUUGCGGCGGUAAUCAAGUUAAAGCAAGAUCAUUAGGUUGGGUUCUAAUCUAAUAUGACUGGUAUUCUUAUUAACAAGGGG
rnacentral:lncRNA from 1 species